AUUACCAGGAGCUGCUUCACAACUCCAGUUUUUGCCUUGUUCCUCGAGGCAGGAGGCUUGGGUCCUUCCGCUUUCUAGAGGCCCUGCAGGCGGCCUGUAUUCCUGUGCUGCUGAGUAACGGAUGGGAGCUGCCCUUCUCAGAGGUCAUUGACUGGAGUAAAGCGGCUAUCAUUGGAGAUGAGAGAUUAUUGCUGCAGGUUCCAUCUAUCACCAGGUCUGUGAGUUCUGACAGAAUCCUGGCACUGCGGCAGCAGACACAGUUCCUGUGGGACGCCUACUUCUCCUCCGUCACAAAGAUAGUCUUAACCACA